ensembl:lncRNA
GAGUGGAUACUGCAAGGAAUCAAAGUGAAAUAUCGCUCCUUCACUAAAAGGCGAUUAGCCUUCAGCAUUUGGUCAGCCAGAAAGCCACUGACAACUGAAAAAAGACCAGCAAGUAUUAAGGCCACAGAACCCUCCUCCCAUUCAAAAAGAACAGCAGAAGACUGUCAGACAAAGAUAACAUUGAGUCAUGUCUGAUAGUGAGACCAUUGAGCUAGCCGCUCUGGGCCGGCCGUUCGAACUGGGGAUGCUGUAUGACUGCCGCAGGGAUCUUCUCAUCCCAGAUGGAGGGUUGUCCAUUAUGGUUAACUCUCGCUGGGCACGGAUGUUGCAGUUCUUGCUAUGCACUGUUCAGCAGACCUGGAGCUACUGACAGUAAAGGUACAACACUUCUACCUCCCGUGGGAAUUCAGCUCCCAUAUUAUCACUGCAGUCUACAUACCCUCACUGGCGGAUAAAACAUGUGUGCUGGAAGAUAUGGAGUAAUAAACAGUCUAGAGGAUGCACACCCUGAGGCAGUUUUCAUUGUUGAUGGUGACAUUAACAGGGCAAAUAUGAGGAACUUUUUACCAAAAUACCACCAGCACAUUAACUUCCUGAUCAGACUCUUGACCAUUGUUAUUCACAAAGACGAAAUGGUUACAAACCUCCCCCGCCCAGCGUUUGGUAAGGCAGAUCAUACAUUGAUUUUGCUCCUCCCAUCCUACAGACAACGGCAAAAACAGGAUAAAACGUUUUUUCAGACAGUUCAAUGCUGGAAUGAGGGAUCCAUUACAGCUGUACAGGACUGCUUUGAAACAACAAAUUAGCAGUUGUUCUGUGAUGCAGCCAAUGGGAACAUUGAUGAAUACACAGACUCUGUCACUGCAUGUAUCUCCAAGUGCAUCGAUGAUGUCAUCCCGAGGGUCAAUGUCAGGACUUUCCCCAACUAAAAGCCCUGGGUUGAUGGUAAUGUCUGUGCUAUGCUCAGAGCAUGGUCUCCUGCCUAUAGCUCCGGGAACCUGGAGGCUCUGAGGAGAUCCAGAUAUGACCUACAGAAGGCCAUCAGAGAUAUGAAAAGAGACUACAGGGAUAGGUUGGAGUCUACCUACCACAGCCCGGAC